rnacentral:rRNA from 1 species
CGAGCGAAAUUGGACUAGCCCUUAAGCUUUACACGCGUUAGACGAACGGUCUGGAAAGUCCGACGAUACAGGGUGAUAGUCCCGUAGUUGACGACGUGUGUUCAGUGAAAUCGAGUAGGGCGGGACACGUGAUAUCCUGUCUGAAUAUGGGGGGACCAUCCUCCAAGGCUAAAUACUACUGACUGACCGAUAGUGAACCAGUACCGUGAGGGAAAGGCGAAAAGAACCCCUGUGAGGGGAGUGAAAUAGAACCUGAAACCGUGUACGUACAAGCAGUAGGAGCAGGCUUUGUCCUGUGACUGCGUACCUUUUGUAUAAUGGGUCAGCGACUUAUAUUCAGUGGCAAGGUUAACCAUCUAGGGGAGCCGUAGGGAAACCGAGUCUUAACUGGGCGUUCAGUCUCUGGAUAUAGACCCGAAACCAGGUGAUCUAGCCAUGGGCAGGUUGAAGGUUGAGUAACAUCAACUGGAGGACCGAACCGACUAAUGUUGAAAAAUUAGCGGAUGACUUGUGGCUAGGGGUGAAAGGCCAAUCAAACCUGGAGAUAGCUGGUUCUCCCCGAAAGCUAUUUAGGUAGCGCCUCGGACGAAUACUACUGGGGGUAGAGCACUGUUAAGGCUAGGGGGUCAUCCCGACUUACCAACCCUUUGCAAACUCCGAAUACCAGUAAGUACUAUCCGGGAGACACACGGCGGGUGCUAACGUCCGUCGUGGAGAGGGAAACAACCCAGACCGCCAGCUAAGGUCCCAAAUUACUACUAAGUGGGAAACGAUGUGGGAAGGCUCAGACAGCCAGGAUGUUGGCUUAGAAGCAGCCAUCAUUUAAAGAAAGCGUAAUAGCUCACUGGUCGAGUCGGCCUGCGCGGAAGAUGUAACGGGGCUAAGUAGUAAACCGAAGCUGCGGCAAUGUGCUUUUGCACAUUGGGUAGGGGAGCGUUCUGUAAGCGGUUGAAGGUGUGUGGUAACGCAUGCUGGACGUAUCAGAAGUGCGAAUGCUGACAUGAGUAACGAUAAAGGGGGUGAAAAACCUCCUCGCCGGAAGACCAAGGGUUCCUGUCCAACGUUAAUCGGGGCAGGGUAAGUCGACCCCUAAGGCGAGGCCGAAAGGCGUAGUCGAUGGGAAACGGGUUAAUAUUCCCGUACUUCUUACAAUUGCGAUGGGGGGACGGAGAAGGCUAGGUGGGCCUGGCGACGGUUGUC